rnacentral:miRNA from 1 species
UGAGCCCCUGUGCCGCCCCCA